rnacentral:lncRNA from 1 species
GAACAACAACUCUAUUCAAUUCAAAUAGAAAAAAAGUAACUGCACCUCAAUUUAAGAAUUUCUCACUCUUUUUGCUGUUUUUGAGCUAAAUUAGAGCUAGCUAACAACAGCAGCAGACAAACAAAACCGGUUGCCAUGGCAACGUGGCAGCAGAACAGAGUAGCAGUACCUGUGGGCUCUGGACUACUGCUAUGUCCCCCCUCAGCGCUGAAUCCAUUCUCUACCUCCCAGAGGUAAAAAAUGAUACAACGAGGAAAGCUUUUAAACAGAAACUACUAAGGCGGAGGCCACAAACCCUUUUCGCAGACCUCUACAAAAACUGAUGUGAGUAAUCACAUCUUUCUCACUGACCAGCCAAACGCAUGGCACUCAGCAGUCUGCUCUCACUUCCCAUCCAAAAUGUAAGGACCGACACUGGAGAUGAAAGGCAGGUACGGGGAGUCAACAUUUAAUCAGGAACAGACAGUAUCUCCCAGACCUCCAAGAAGCAUACUUCCCUCCAGCGUACUUGAGUCAUGCUACUUCUCACCAAUAGAUCUGACAUCUUCAGUUCAUCUUCAGUUCAUUUAAGUUGAUGGCCAUAUUAUUAAGAUCCUAAGAAACAGAGCCUGGUCGAACGGAGAGAGGAGAGGAGCUGAACUGAGAGAGUUGAAACAGAGCCUGGUCGAACUGAGAGGAGAGGAGCUGAGCUGAGCUGAGAGCUGAAAGCUGAAACAGAGCCUGCUCGACCUGAGAGGAGAGGAGCUGAAAGCUGAAACAGAGCCUGCUUGACCUGAGAGGAGCUGAGCUGAAAGCUGAAACAGAGCCUGGUCGAACUGAGAGGAG